GACGAACGCUGGCGGCGUGCCUAAUACAUGCAAGUCGAACGCUUCUUUCCUCCCGAGUGCUUGCACUCCAUUGGAAAGAGGAGUGGCGGACGGGUGAGUAACACGUGGGUAACCUACCCAUCAGAGGGGGAUAACACUUGGAAACAGGUGCUAAUACCGCAUAACAGUUUAUGCCGCAUGGCAUAAGAGUGAAAGGCGCUUUCGGGUGUCGCUGAUGGAUGGACCCGCGGUGCAUUAGCUAGUUGGUGGGGUAACGGCUCACCACGGCCACGAUGCAUAGCCGACCUGAGAGGGUGAUCGGCCACACUGGGACUGAGACACGGCCCAGACUCCUACGGGAGGCAGCAGUAGGGAAUCUGCGGCAAUGGACGAAAGUCUGACCGAGCAACGCCGCGUGAGUGAAGAAGGUUUUCGGAUCGUAAAACUCUGUUGUUAGAGAAGAACAAGGACGUUAGUAACUGAACGUCGCCUGACGGUAUCUAACCAGAAAGCCACGGCUAACUACGUG
rnacentral:rRNA from 1 species